rnacentral:rRNA from 1 species
GAUGAACGCUGGCGGCAUGCCUAACACAUGCCAGUCGAUCGGUAAGGCUCUUCGGGGUACACGAGAGGCGGACGGCUGAGUAACGCGUAGGAACACACCCUGCAGUGAGGGAUAAGACACCGAAAGGUGUUCUAAUACCGCAUACGGUCUUCGGAUUAAAGCAUUUAUGCGCUGAAGGAGUGGCCUGCGUCAUAUUAGAUAGUUGGUGAGGUAAUGGCUCACCAAGUCGAUGAUGUGUAGCUGGUCUGAGAGGAUGAUCAGCCAGACUGGAACUGAGACACGGUCCAGACUCCUACGGGAGGCAGCAGUGAGGAAUAUUUCACAAUGAGCGAAAGCUUGAUGGAGCAAUGCCGCGUGCAGGAUGAAGGCCCUCGGGUUGUAAACUGCUUUUAUAAGAGAAGAUUAUGACGGUAACUUAUGAAUAAGGGACGGCUAACUACGUG